rnacentral:lncRNA from 10 species
GCCUGCGCAAGAGGACGGCGGCCGCCCUGGAGCAAAGAGGGCCGUGGUCAGAAAGAAGUUGGGAGGCUUCCAGUACCAGACAAAAUGGAGUAAGGCACUGCAGUCUCUGCCACUGAUCACAACUAAAAAUUCUGGACAAAAUGUAACUAAGGACUCCGAAAAGUAAACAAGCAGCCAAAUUAUGGAAGGGAAUCAAAGCUUGAAGAAACUAUCUGUAUGGGUACCAGAAUCCUUUUAGCCAGGCAUAUGUCUGCCUGAAAUGGACUCAUCUUCCCAACCUCUCCUGCAACUAGGUGCAACCUACCAUGGACUAAGUUCUGCUUUUCCACAGUACCUUUCAUAGAUGGAUGUCGGGUAAGUGUUUGCUGGUUGAUCCUCUGCUGAUGCCCUGCUCACCUCACAGAAGGCCUGACCACACACCUACUAGUAUCAGCAAGAAAAACUCAAAAAGAGGAGACUCUUUAGGUUCCAUGGACACAUACAGGAGAAAAACCAGCAGAUGGAGGAGGAAAUACAC